rnacentral:tRNA from 1 species
GCAAGUAUAGCUCAUUGGUAAAGCACGUGCCUAGUACCCACAAGUCCUGGGUUUGAUUCCCAGUACUCCCA